rnacentral:tRNA from 1 species
CCUAAAGUAGUUUAAUUUAAAACAUAAAAUUGCAAGUUUUAUAAUGAUCGAUUACUUUCUUUUAGGU